rnacentral:rRNA from 1 species
AGACCCGAAACCCGGUGAUCUAGCCAUGGGCAGGUUGAAGGUUGGGUAACACUAACUGGAGGACCGAACCGACUAAUGUUGAAAAAUUAGCGGAUGACCUGUGGCUGGGGGUGAAAGGCCAAUCAAACCGGGAGAUAGCUGGUUCUCCCCGAAAGCUAUUUAGGUAGCGCCUCGUGAAUUCAUCUCCGGGGGUAGAGCACUGUUUCGGCUAGGGGGCCAUCCCGGCUUACCAACCCGAUGCAAACUGCGAAUACCGGAGAAUGUUAUCACGGGAGACACACGGCGGGUGCUAACGUCCGUCGUGAAGAGGGAAACAACCCAGACCGCCAGCUAAGGUCCCAAAGUCAUGGUUAAGUGGGAAACGAUGUGGGAAGGCCCAGACAGCCAGGAUGUUGGCUUAGAAGCAGCCAUCAUUUAAAGAAAGCGUAAUAGCUCACUGGUCGAGUCGGCCUGCGCGGAAGAUGUAACGGGGCUAAACCAUGCACCGAAGCUGCGGCAGCGACGCUUAUGCGUUGUUGGGUAGGGGAGCGUUCUGUAAGCCUGUGAAGGUGGCCUGUGAGGGUUGCUGGAGGUAUCAGAAGUGCGAAUGCUGACAUAAGUAACGAUAAAGCGGGUGAAAAGCCCGCUCGCCGGAAGACCAAGGGUUCCUGUCCAACGUUAAUCGGGGCAGGGUGAGUCGACCCCUAAGGCGAGGCCGAAAGGCGUAGUCGAUGGGAAACAGGUUAAUAUUCCUGUACUUGGUGUUACUGCGAAGGGG